rnacentral:rRNA from 1 species
AUUAGGUUGUUGGUGAGGUAAAAGCUCACCAAGCCGACGAUCUGUAGCUGGUUUGAGAGAACGACCAGCCACACUGGGACUGAGACACGGCCCAGACUCCUACGGGAGGCAGCAGUGGGGAAUUUUGGACAAUGGGCGCAAGCCUGAUCCAGCCAUGCCGCGUGCAGGAUGACGGUCCUAUGGAUUGUAAACUGCUUUUAUACGAGAAGAAACACUCCGACGUGUCGGAGCUUGACGGUAUCGUAAGAAUAAGGAUCGGCUAACUCCGUGCCAGCAGCCGCGGUAAUACGGAGGAUCCAAGCGUUAUCCGGAAUCAUUGGGUUUAAAGGGUCCGUAGGCGGUCAGGUAAGUCAGUGGUGAAAGCCCAUCGCUCAACGGUGGAACGGCCAUUGAUACUGUCUGACUUGAAUUAUUAGGAAGUAACUAGAAUAUGUGGUGUAGCGGUGAAAUGCUUAGAGAUUACAUGGAAUACCAAUUGCGAAGGCAGGUUACUACUAAUGGAUUGACGCUGAUGGACGAAAGCGUGGGUA